ensembl:snRNA U6 U6 spliceosomal RNA
GUGCUCGCUUCAGCAGCACAUACACUACAAUUGGAACCAUACAGAGAAGAUUAGCGCGGGCCCUGCACGAGGAUGGCACGCAAAUUCGUAAAGCACUCAUUUUUUUU